rnacentral:rRNA from 1 species
UACGUAGGUGGCAAGCGGUGUCCGGAUUUACUGGGCGUAAAGAGCGCGCAGGCGGUCGGUCAAGUCGAGUGUGAAAGCCCCCGGCUCAACUGGGGAGGGUCACUCGAAACUGAUCGACUCGAAGGCGGGAGAGGGAAGCGGAAUUCCCGGUGUAGUGGUGAAAUGCGUAGAUAUCGGGAGGAACACCAGUGGCGAAGGCGGCUUCCUGGCCCGUUCUUGACGCUGAGGCGCGAAAGCUAGGGGAGCGAACGGG